AAGGCUUGAGACAGAUGCUCCUGAAUCCCUUUGCCUGUUGGACCUUGAAGUAUUCCUACUCGGGAUGGUAUUCACUUGCAACUUGGAACUGCAAGAGAAGUUUAACACUCGUAAUGAAACGCAUCAGCCACCUUUCUUACCGUUGCUGCUGUGCAAACAGUUCUCUACUGAGAAGCAAAGAUCCUGGUGGGAUGCUGUUCGUGCUCUUAUGCAGAAAAAAAACAACGCCAGAAUCAGUGACAAACCUGAAGUUUCUUGUCCCGCAUGGAUUAAGUACUCUGCGAGCGCUGGAGAAGCACGGCCUUCAGCCUGCCUUGAUUAUACACUGGGCAAGAAGCCUGCAAAAUACA